CUACGGGGAUGAUUGCGACACUUGAACUCUCUCUUGCUGAGGGGCUAGUGGAGAAAAUGCAAAUUCUGAGCAGC
rnacentral:snoRNA from 14 species